UGUACCCAAAGUGCUGGGACCUCCGAUU
rnacentral:sRNA from 1 species